AUUGAACGCUGGCGGCAUGCUUUACACAUGCAAGUCGAACGGCAGCGCGGGCUUCGGCCUGGCGGCGAGUGGCGAACGGGUGAGUAAUACAUCGGAACGUGCCCAGUAGUGGGGGAUACCUCGGCGAAAGCCGGAUUAAUACCGCAUACGACCUGAGGGUGAAAGCGGGGGAUCUUCGGACCUCGCGCUAUUGGAGCGGCCGAUGGCAGAUUAGCUAGUUGGUGGGGUAAAGGCCUACCAAGGCGACGAUCUGUAGCUGGUCUGAGAGGACGACCAGCCACACUGGGACUGAGACACGGCCCAGACUCCUACGGGAGGCAGCAGUGGGGAAUUUUGGACAAUGGGCGAAAGCCUGAUCCAGCAAUGCCGCGUGUGUGAUGAAGGCCUUCGGGUUGUAAAGCACUUUUGGCGGGAACGAAAAGGACUGUGCCAAUACCACGGUUCGAUGACGGUACCCGCAGAAUAAGCACCGGCUAACUACGUG
rnacentral:rRNA from 1 species